CCUACGGGAGGCUGCAGUGGGGAAUAUUGCACAAUGGGGGAAACCCUGAUGCAGCGACGCCGCGUGCGUGAAGAAGUAUUUCGGUAUGUAAAGCUCUAUCAGCAGGGAAGAAAAAAGACGGUACCUGACUAAGAAGCCACGGCUAACUACGUGCCAGCAGCCGCGGUAAUACGUAGGUGGCGAGCGUUAUCCGGAUUCACUGGGUGUAAAGGGAGCGUAGACGGCCAUGCAAGCCAGGGGUGAAAGCCCGGGGCCCAACCCCGGGACUGCCCGUGGAACUGCAUGGCUGGAGUGCGGGAGGGGCAGGCGGAAUUCCUGGGGUAGCGGUGAAAUGCGUAGAUAUCAGGAGGAACACCGGCGGCGAAGGCGGCCUGCUGGACCGCGACUGACGUUGAGGCUCGAAAGCGUGGGGAGCGAACAGGAUUAGAUACCCCAGUAGUC
rnacentral:rRNA from 1 species